CCUACGGGAGGCAGCAGUGAGGAAUAUUGGUCAAUGGACGCAAGUCUGAACCAGCCAUGCCGCGUGCAGGAAGACUGCCCUAUGAGUUGUAAACUUCUUUUGUACGAGGAUAAAGUCAGAUACGCGUAUCUUUCUGAAAGUAUUGUAUGAAUAAGGAUCGGCUAACUCCGUGCCAGCAGCCGCGGUAAUACGGAGGAUUCGAGCGUUAUCCGGAUUUAUUGGGUUUAAAGGAUGCGUAGGUGGGCUGUUAAGUUAGUGGUGAAAGCUCGAGGCUCAACCUUAGAAUUGCCACUGAUACUGGUCGGCUAGAGUGUAGUUGCGGUAGGCGGAAUGUGUGGUGUAGCGGUGAAAUGCUUAGAGAUCAUACAGAACACCGAUUGCGAAGGCAGCUUACCAAGCUACUUCUGACGUUGAGGCACGAAAGCGUGGGGAGCAAACAGGAUUAGAUACCCGGGUAGUC
rnacentral:rRNA from 1 species